rnacentral:lncRNA from 10 species
UGAAUCUUUAAAAACUAUUUUAGCUAUUGAACUUUCAAUCCUAGAAUUUCCAUUUAAUUCUUUUUUAAAAAUAGUUUCUAUCUCUUUAUUGAUAUUCUCUACUUGAGGCAACAUUGUCAAUAUACAUGUCUUCUUUAAUUACUUUUGUGAGUAUGCUUUUAAUGGUUAAUUUUAUUUUUUUUGUCUUAUUUUCUUCUUUCUUUUUGCGGAGAACGGGUUCUCACUAUGAUCCCCAGCAGGGGGCUCAAGCUAUUCUCUCACGUCUGUCUCCUUAAGUGCUGCAAUUAACAGGUGCAAGCCCAGACAGGUGCUGUGGAUGAUACACUGCAGUGAGACUACAAAACCUUUAAAGUUUUAGUUUUGUAAGCAGUUAAAUUAUUGACACAUUAUUUUCAUACUCUCAGACUUGGUUUUGUUCUUUGUGGGAGCUAUUUGUGUAUUUGCUUUUGUUUUCCUGCUUUUUAAACCUGGGUAUGGUUUUUUAAUUCAAAGAUAGUCUUUUCUCCCAAGUUUUGACAUGUCUACAAUCUCAACUGGAUGUCCACGUUCAGCAAGGUUUCUACCAUCUGGCUCGGCUGUAACUCCAGUGUCUUUCAGGACUUUUCAAACUAUGUUACUUCUCUCAGUUCUUAGCUACCCUGCAGCAAUUACUUUCCCACAGCCUCCAGAGGAAUCUCCACAUGUGCAAAUUAUCUUCAAGUCACGAACAUAUGGAACCCCCUGCAAAUUUUGAGAUCUCACUCUCAGCACUCCCUCAUUUCCAGUAACCUGCCCUACUAAAAUUUCAACCACUUAAGUUGCCUGAACUCCAUUUGUCUUCAGCUCAGUGAGGCUGCUGUACUUUCAUUGGAGUCCAAUUUAUUGUACUUUGGUGAAAAAGGUUUCCCCAGCCAGAAAGCCUAAGUGAAAGUUGUGCUAACUUUGUUUGUUCUCCUUUUCUCAAAAUCACAAGCUUUCUUUAAAAAAAUUUGUCUCAUGUCUUUUUCUGUAAUUUAAUUAUUCUUUAAAGUGAGAAAAGCAAUUUGGUCCUAGGUAACAUAACAUAUAUGAGAUAAAUUUUUAAUUUUCCUAUUUUAAAUAAACAUGUCUAUAUUUACCACUUUCAAAAUAAACAUAUAAGUUAAAGAUUCACAAUAAUUUUGAAAAAUAAUUCUUUUUAGUAACUAUCUUAAGUAUUAUUUAUUUGCAUAAAAAUAAAUUGGAUAAAUAUUUUAAUCAAAUUACAUUAAUGCCUCUAGGUAGAGAGCAUGUGAUUUGGUUAGAUUUAAUCUUUAAAAUGUCAGCAUCCAAAUAUGGCAUCAAUUCUUACUAAAUAUUACGAAUAAUAUAAACUAAAUAUAUUUAUAUAUAUUAAAUACUCAAAUAGUACUCCUAACCACAAAAUUAACCCAAUGAUGACUUCUUUUCCAAAACAUUGCAAUGUGUCAAUAUCUUUAAAUUGCUUAAAAAUUAAUGAAUGAAUCUAAUUGAGUAUACUUCUACCAACAAUAUUUUUACAUGUGAUAGGUAAAACAUUUGUCAUUUUGAGCUUAGGCCAACUGGCAAGUCAUUUUUAUAUCAUAUUGGCUGUUUCUAGGCAUUUUUUUUUACUAUUUUAACCAAGAGUGAGUCAAACUAUAUUGCUCAAUUUAUACAGUAGUAAUGUGAAAAUCAUUAUUACACAUGGAAAAACUCACGAACAAGGAUAAUUAUUUUCUAAAGUCACAGGUAGAUACAGCAAUAUUAACAAUAACUAUGACUUGUAGACUAACAUUUAGUAUGUAAACAGAGUACUCUAUUUUUAAAAAAUAUAAUUAGAGGGCAGGCACUGCAUUGCUCAGUAUAUUCCCAAAGCUAAGUGGCAGUUGAUAAGAGUUGCAUUAAAGUAAAGGUCAAAUAAUGAUGACAAGUUUCCUCCCAUUUCACUUUGCCACAGUUUGACAUAAGCUGAGAUUUAUGCAAUGUCACUAACCAUCAAUCAAUCACCCAUGCAAUAACAAAUAAAGAGAUGAAAUGGCUAAGUAAAUAUGUCUUUUUAAAAAUACAGGUAAAGAAAAGAAAUAACAUCAGCUACUAGGCUCUACAAAGAGAAGAAGCAACUCAAAUACUGUUUUAUUUGAAGCCCUUGUAUUUAAGGAAACAAAGUAUGGCCUAUUUUUCUUUCUCUUGGAUGAUACAUAAUUAUUUUAGUCCCUAGAAUAGUUUUGUUAAAAUACUGCAGUAUCAGUUAAUUUUGUUUCUUGAGAAGACCUGAAAGAGGUUUUUGGUUUGUUUGUUUGUUUGUUUGUUUUUUAUCCUUAUGUAGUUCUUAUCUUAUUGGUAGGCUUUGAAUAGCUAUCCUAUAAAUAUUAUUGGUUUCAUAACAUUUUAGGUACUUAUUUUUAAUUCAAUAUCUUUGUUAUUGAAGCAAGUCAAUUUAGAUGAGUUGAAGAAAAUGGUAAUAGUAAUGAUUUUAAAAUUUGCUAAUGGUUUUCAGCAUACAGCGUACACCCAAAACACUUUUAAAAACAUAUGGCUUAAAAUCUCUACGGGGAAAAUGUUUUAAUGUCUUUAUUCUAAGUGAAUACAGUUAAACUUAACAGAAGUAAUCAUUCUGGCACAAAGACAGAGAUGUAGGUUGGCAUGAGGACAUGUGAAAAGAUUAGCAGGAGAUGAAAGUAGUGGAGAGACUGAAAAACACUAUAACAAUAGUGCAUCAAAUCAUACCCAGUAAGAGCUACACCAACCUUUAAGGAGGAGGAAUUGCAAGUUAAUGUCAAAAACAUAGUGUAAUUUUUGUAUGUAUGUAAAAAUUUGUAUGUAUGUAAAAAUUUUAUUUACAUGUAAAUAAAAAUGCAUAAAAUGUCACAGCA